GGGAGCCGCUUCCGGGCACGCCUCUCCUGGGAAGAUUGACAUUCCGCUGAGGCCCCGCCCCCGAAAGGAACUUCCGCUCGCUCUCUGAAGGCCAAAACCACGGAGCUUCUAAAGCAGGCCUGGGCCAACUUGGGCCUUCUCUCCAGUUGUUUUGGACUUCAACUCCCAUCAUUCCUCACAGCCUCAGGCCCCUUCCUUUUCCCCCUCAGCCGCUUAAGCGGCUGAGGGGGAAAAGGAAAGGGCCUGAGGCUGUGAGGAAUGAUGGGAGUUGAAGUCCAAAGCACCUCGAGGGCCCAAGUAGGCCCAGGCCUGCUGUAAAGAAGUAGACUCUCAACUAGACUUGGAACUGAAUUCCAAACGCCAUCCAAUUUGGGGUUCUUUCAGCCAGGCAGGAGGACACCAUCAAAACCCUCCUGACAGAUGGCCAUCAAGUUUCUUCUUGAAAGCCUCUACAGAAGGGUAACUCCUUCCCGCAGGAGAAACUGCCGGAUGAACUGCUGGGCCUGACGCUUCUCUGCAAUGCCGGGCUUGGGGUGCCCAGGAGGGGGGCGCAGCAGGAGGCCCCCAAAGAGGCUGGCUGCAAGGCAAGGAAGGGGAGGAAGGAAGGAAGGACAACAGUCAACAGAAACCCAAAAGCCAUACAGGGAGAUCAUCCUGAGUGGGGUCUCCCUCAUCCAGAGCCAUGGCCCAGCACUGAGUGACCAAACACUUUUGUUCCUUUACCCAGAAUAUUCACGUCCAAGUGGUUUUUUGCAGAAUGUCGGAGCAGCUCCCGUAGGAAAGCCAUCAGGUAACUGAAGACAUUCCUGUGGCACCUGGGCAGAGUGGACACCACCUGAGAGGAAGAGGAAAGGGCAGGGAGCCAUUGUGUACUGAGGUGGCCAUGCACUCUGUGACCCAGGCUUGACCCCACCCCCAGGGCCAUCUGCCUCACCUGCGUGCUCAGGAUGUAGCUGUCAGCACACUCCAGGCAGUUGUCGUAGAGGUUGGAGCAGAUGACCGGCUCAGGGAGGCUCUCCAGGAAGAGGAGCAGCGCUUCAGCCACAGAAUGGUUGCUGCCCACUGGAAGACAAAGAUUAAGGAAAAGGCGAGGAGGGCCCAGACGGAAAGCAUGGCUCAAAGGGUGGGCUCUUGGGACAGUCCCCAUAACAACCAAACUGGGAUAUUUUUCCUUUUCUCUGGAACAGAGCACUACAAUCUAGCGUACUGAGAGAAACUGAAAAGCAUUAAUGGACAAUUUUGAACUAUGGGAAUCGGGCAUCUGUGGAGGUCAGAGGGGAAGAAGACAUUCGUUUUGAGAGGACCAGCUGGCAUAAAUCCUGGUCUGGAUCCAUGAAAAGGGAUCAGUGCUGGAGGUCCAUACGCUGGGGCAAUAAAUCUACACCAGGUUCUAAUCCAGACAUUAAAGGAGACUCUCCAUAUCCCAAAAUAGGCUCAGCAUCUUUGACUGCUCCUUGACAGUCAAGACCUGAGAGCCUUUAGCCUCCUCUACAUCAAAGUUAUAAAAUAGCAGUGUCUCGUCAUUCAAAGAAGUUGUCUUUUUGUAAACACAACAUUGGGUGUCCUACCUCCCCAAGCACAAGGCAGCUUUUGGGCCCCAGAGAGGCCAUGCAAUGCUUCUGGCACUGCCCACAAAGGAUACCCAGCAUGUCUAUCAAUCCAGUGUCCAGGCAAUCGCGGAUUUGUUCAAAUUCAGACCGCAGACCCGGCUGCUGGAACAGGUCUUCCUGUAAAGAAAGAGAGAGGCAUUGCAGCACAGAACUGUGAGAAGGAGCAAGGAAAAGGUCUGCUGGAAACAUGUAUCCUCAUUCCUAUUCAGAAAUGCAACUCAGCCAUCUUCUGCUGCUUCCCCAUGUAUCCCUUGUACUCUCUUUGCAGUGGCAAAGCACAGACAAAGCCUUACGGCUGAAAACAGAAGCUCCACAAAAGACUCUCCUGACUCAUGUCUAUUUCAUCCCCAUCAACUUCAUAGCUAAAUUCAGCCUUUUACUUCAUUAGGGUUAUAAAUCAUGUUGCUUAUA